GGGGGAUAUUGCACAAUGGAGGAAACUCUGAUGCAGCAACGCCGCGUGAAGGAUGAAGGUUUUCGGAUUGUAAACUUCUUUAGUCAGGGACGAAAAAAAUGACGGUAUCUGAAGAAUAAGCCACAGCUAACUACGUGCCAGCAGCCGCGGUAAUACGUAGGUGGCAAGCGUUGUCCGGAAUUACUGGGUGUAAAGGGCGUGUAGGCGGGAAUGUAAGUCAGAUGUGAAAUCCCAGGGCUUAACCCUGGAGCUGCAUCUGAAACUAUGUUUCUUGAGUGCCGGAGAGGAAAGCGGAAUUCCUAGUGUAGCGGUGAAAUGCGUAGAUAUUAGGAGGAACACCAGUGGCGAAGGCGGCUUUCUGGACGGUAACUGACGCUGAGGCGCGAAAGCGUGGGGAGCAAAC
rnacentral:rRNA from 1 species